GCGGCGAACGGGUGAGUAACACGUAAAGAACCUGCCUCAUAGACUGGGACAACUAUUGGAAACGAUAGCUAAUACCGGAUAACAGCAUUAACUGCAUGGUUGAUGUUUAAAAGUUGGUUUUGCUAACACUAUGAGAUGGCUUUGCGGUGCAUUAGCUAGUUGGUGGGGUAAAGGCCUACCAAGGCGACGAUGCAUAGCCGACCUGAGAGGGUGAUCGGCCACACUGGGACUGAGACACGGCCCAGACUCC
rnacentral:rRNA from 1 species